AGAAAAUCGGAUCUUCAAAGUGACCCCAGCAGGUUACAGUCACCAGCUAAGCGACAACGUCUGUCUGUGUCGGGAUUUGUAGAAUCAAUCAUACUGUCUGAUGCAAAAAGCAUCAUGACAUUUGUACAUGCCAGACUACAUCACCAAGACCAACUCUGUGCUUUCUUGAAGAAAAAGAUCAGUGAUUUGGAGACAGACAAGAGGGAGCUGGUUGGUGUCUUUGGUAAAACUGGGGCUGGAAAGAGCUCUUUGAUUAAUGCCAUUAUUGAAGAGAAGAAUCUUUUACCCUCAGGAAGUAUCAAUGCCUGCACCUCAGUCAUGAUUAAAUUGGAAGCUAACACCUACAGCUCAAAGUAUGAGGCAGAAA